GCUGGCGGCGUGCCUAAUACAUGCAAGUCGAGCGAACGGACGAGAAGCUUGCUUCUCUGAUGUUAGCGGCGGACGGGUGAGUAACACGUGGAUAACCUACCUAUAAGACUGGGAUAACUUCGGGAAACCGGAGCUAAUACCGGAUAAUAUUUUGAACCGCAUGGUUCAAAAGUGAAAGACGGUCUUGCUGUCACUUAUAGAUGGAUCCGCGCUGCAUUAGCUAGUUGGUAAGGUAACGGCUUACCAAGGCAACGAUGCAUAGCCGACCUGAGAGGGUGAUCGGCCACACUGGAACCGAGACACGGUCCAGACUCCUACGGGAGGCAGCAGUAGGGAAUCUUCCGCAAUGGGCGAGAGCCUGACGGAGCAACGCCGCGUGAGUGAUGAAGGUCUUCGGAUCGUAAAACUCUGUUAUUAGGGAAGAACAUAUGUGUAAGUAACUGUGCACAUCUUGACGGUACCUAAUCAGAAAGCCACGGCUAACUACGUGCCAGCAGCCGCGGUAAUACGUAGGUGGCAAGCGUUAUCCGGAAUUAUUGGGCGUAAAGCGCGCGUAGGCGGUUUUUUAAGUCUGAUGUGAAAGCCCACGGCUCAACCGUGGAGGGUCAUUGGAAACUGGAAAACUUGAGUGCAGAAGAGGAAAGUGGAAUUCCAUGUGUAGCGGUGAAAUGCGCAGAGAUAUGGAGGAACACCAGUGGCGAAGGCGACUUUCUGGUCUGUAACUGACGCUGAUGUGCGAAAGCGUGGGGAUCAAACAGGACUAGAUACCCUGGUAGUCCACGCCAUAAACGAUGAGUGCUAAGUGUUAGGGGGUUUCCGCCCCUUAGUGCUGCAGCUAACGCAUUAAGCACUCCGCCUGGGGAGUACGACCGCAAGGUUGAAACUCAAAGGAAUUGACGGGGACCCGCACAAGCGGUGGAGCAUGUGGUUUAAUUCGAAGCAACGCGAAGAACCUUACCAAAUCUUGACAUCCUUUGACAACUCUAGAGAUAGAGCCUUCCCCUUCGGGGGACAAAGUGACAGGUGGUGCAUGGUUGUCGUCAGCUCGUGUCGUGAGAUGUUGGGUUAAGUCCCGCAACGAGCGCAACCCUUAAGCUUAGUUGCCAUCAUUAAGUUGGGCACUCUAAGUUGACUGCCGGUGACAAACCGGAGGAAGGUGGGGAUGACGUCAAAUCAUCAUGCCCCUUAUGAUUUGGGCUACACACGUGCUACAAUGGACAAUACAAAGGGCAGCGAAACCGCGAGGUCAAGCAAAUCCCAUAAAGUUGUUCUCAGUUCGGAUUGUAGUCUGCAACUCGACUACAUGAAGCUGGAAUCGCUAGUAAUCGUAGAUCAGCAUGCUACGGUGAAUACGUUCCCGGGUCUUGUACACACCGCCCGUCACACCACGAGAGUUUGUAACACCCGAAGCCGGUGGAGUAACCUUUUAGGAGCUAGCCGUCGAAGGUGGGACAAAUGAUUGGGGUGA
rnacentral:rRNA from 1 species